rnacentral:rRNA from 1 species
CCUACGGGUGGCAGCAGUAGGGGAUAUUGCUCAAUGGGGGAAACCCUGAAGCAGCAACGCCGCGUGGAGGAUGAAGGUUUUCGGAUUGUAAACUCCUUUUGUUAGAGAAGAUAAUGACGGUAUCUAACGAAUAAGCACCGGCUAACUCCGUGCCAGCAGCCGCGGUAAUACGGAGGGUGCAAGCGUUACUCGGAAUUACUGGGCGUAAAGAGCGCGUAGGCGGGCUAGCAAGUCAGACGUGAAAUCCUAUGGCUUAACCAGAGAACUGCAUUUGAAACUGUUAUUCUAGAGUAUGGGAGAGGUAGGUGGAAUUCCUGGUGUAGGGGUAAAAUGCGUAGAGAUCAAGAGGAAUACUCAUGGCGAAGGCGACCUGCUAGAACAUAACUGACGCUGAUGCGCGAAAGCGUGGGGAGCAAACAGGAUUAGAUACCCUUGUAGUC